rnacentral:tRNA from 1 species
GCGACGUGGCCAAGUGGUAAGGCAGAGGUCUGCAAAACCUCCAUUCACCGGUUCGAAUCCGGUCGUCGC